rnacentral:rRNA from 1 species
UUUUUNGCAAGAUCGUGCCAGCAGCCGCGGUAAUACGUAGGGGGCAAGCGUUACCCGGAAUUACUGGGUGUAAAGGGUGAGUAGGUUGAUCUGUNAGUCNUAUGNGAAANACCGAUGCUUAACAUCGGGGCUGCAUAAGAAACUACGGAUCUAGAGUACAGGAGAGGUAAGCGGAAUUCCUAGUGUAGCGGUGAANUGNGUAGAUNUUAGGAAGAACACCAGUGGGGAAGGGGGCUUACUGGACUGUAACUGACACUGAGUCACGAANGCGUGGGGAGCANACAGGAUUAGAUACCCUGGUAGUCCACGCUGUAAACGAUGAAUACCAGGUGUCGGGCCUUACGGCUCGGUGCCGCAGUUAACACAAUAAGUAUUCCACCUGGGGAGUACGGCCGCAAGGCUGAAACUCAAAAGAAUUGACGGGGGCCCGCACAAGCGGUGGAGCAUGUGGUUUAAUUCGAAGCAACGCGAAGAACCUUACCNAGGCUUGACAUCCUUCUCGAUACUGUAGAAAUACAGUAGCCCUUCGGGGGAGAAGUGACAGGUGGUGCAUGGUUGUCGUCAGCUCGUGUCGUGAGAUGUUGGGUUAAGUCCCGCAACGAGCGCAACCCUUAUCUUUAGUAGCUAGCANGUAAUGCUGAGCACUCUAGAGAGACUGCCAUGAAUAACAUGGAGGAAGGUGGGGACGACGUCNAAUCGUCNUGCCCCUUACNCCUUGGGCUACACACGUGCUACNAUGGCUAC